AAAGUACUCCCUCCGUCCCAAAAUUCUUGUCUUAGAUUUGUCUGGAUACGGAUGUAUCAAGUCACAUUUUAGUAUUAGAUACAUAUGUAUCUAGACAAAUCUAAGACAAGAAAUUUGGGACAGAGGGAGUAGUUG
rnacentral:pre_miRNA from 1 species